rnacentral:lncRNA from 1 species
CUGAACCUGAUAAGGCUGGAAUCUUUCAUCUCAGCAAUACAUAUAACAGUUUGUAUAUACAAUAAGGACCCUAAAGAAAUCAACAUAGCAAUAAUAAGUGCCAGAUGCAUGCUUAAUUUAGAGUCUACUCUGAAGUAGAUUGAAAUGCUGCUACUGUAGACACCAUAGAAUCCACCCCGCAAAUGUCAUGUGUUUGGCCUCUGCAGAUCUUGUAGUAUCCAUCUUCUCCCCAGCUUUCUCCCCAUGAAUUCUUAAUGAUCCAGUAAGGCUUUUCCUUGAAGCGAAUGGGAGCAUAUCC